rnacentral:rRNA from 1 species
CAAGUCGAACGAGAGAUGAAGAGCUUGCUCUUCAAAUCGAGUGGCGAACGGGUGAGUAACGCGUGAGGAACCUGCCUCAAAGAGGGGGACAACAGUUGGAAACGACUGCUAAUACCGCAUAAGCCCACGGCUCGGCAUCGAGCAGAGGGAAAAGGAGCAAUCCGCUUUGAGAUGGCCUCGCGUCCGAUUAGCUAGUUGGUGAGGUAAUGGCCCACCAAGGCGACGAUCGGUAGCCGGACUGAGAGGUUGAACGGCCACAUUGGGACUGAGACACGGCCCAGACUCCUACGGGAGGCAGCAGUGGGGAAUAUUGCACAAUGGGGGAAACCCUGAUGCAGCGACGCCGCGUGGAGGAAGAAGGUCUUCGGAUUGUAAACUCCUGUUGUUGAGGAAGAUAAUGACGGUACUCGACAAGGAAGUGACGGCUAACUACGUGCCAGCAGCCGCGGUAAAACGUAGGUCACAAGCGUUGUCCGGAAUUACUGGGUGUAAAGGGAGCGCAGGCGGGAGAACAAGUUGGAAGUGAAAUCCAUGGGCUCAACCCAUGAACUGCUUUCAAAACUGUUUUUCUUGAGUAGUGCAGAGGUAGGCGGAAUUCCCGGUGUAGCGGUGGAAUGCGUA